rnacentral:rRNA from 1 species
UCGAGAAUCAUUCACAAUGGGGGAAACCCUGAUGGUGCGACGCCGCGUGGGGGAUGAAGGUCUUCGGAUUGUAAACCCCUGUCAUUUGUGAACAAACCUUUUGGUUUAAUAGAUCAAAAGCUGAUAGUAGCAAAAGAGGAAGGGACGGCUAACUCCGUGCCAGCAGCCGCGGUAAUACGGAGGUCCCAAGCGUUGUUCGGAUUUACUGGGCGUAAAGGGUGCGUAGGUGGCCAGGAAAGUUUGAUGUGAAAGCUCCGAGCUCAACUCGGAAAAUGCAUUGAAUACUACUUGGCUUGAGGAUCGGAGGGGAGACUGGAAUUCUCGGUGUAGCAGUGAAAUGCGUAGAUAUCGAGAGGAACACCAGUGGCGAAGGCGAGUCUCUGGACGAUUCCUGACACUGAGGCACGAAAGCUAGGGGAGCAAACAGG